AGCGAACGCUGGCCGCAGGCCUAACACAUGCAAGUCGAACGAACCUUUCGGGGUUAGUGGCGGACGGGUGAGUAACACGUGGGAACGUGCCUUUAGGUUCGGAAUAACUCAGGGAAACUUGUGCUAAUACCGAAUGUGCCCUUCUGGGGAAAGAUUUAUCGCCUUUAGAGCGGCCCGCGUCUGAUUAGCUAGUUGGUUGAGGUAAUGGCUCACCAAGGCGACGAUCAGUAGCUGGUCUGAGAGGAUGAUCAGCCACAUUGGGACUGAGACACGGCCCAAACUCCUACGGGAGGCAGCAGUGGGGAAUCUUGCGCAAUGGGCGAAAGCCUGACGCAGCCAUGCCGCGUGAAUGAUGAAGGUCUUAGGAUUGUAAAAUUCUUUCACCGGGGACGAUAAUGACGGUACCCGGAGAAGAAGCCCCGGCUAACUUCGUG
rnacentral:rRNA from 1 species